CACACAGACAGACAGUCACACACACAGUCAGUCACACACACACACACACACACACAUAGACAGACAGUCACACACACACACACACAAGGACAGGCAGUCACACAGACAGUCACACACACACACACACACUGACAGUCACACGCACACAGGCAGGCAGUCACACAGACAGACAGUCACACACACACACAGACAGACAGUCACACAAACAGGCAAACAGUCACACACACACACUUACCUCUUUCCAGUGGAUGCAGUUGGCUGAUGGGGAAGCAUCUUUCCC
rnacentral:lncRNA from 1 species